AACGAACGCUGGCGGCAGGCUUAACACAUGCAAGUCGAACGAUCUCUUCGGAGGUAGUGGCAGACGGGUGAGUAACACGUGGGAACGUACCUUUCAGUCAGGGAUAACUCAUGGAAACGUGAGCUAAUACCCGAUACGCCCUUUUGGGGAAAGAUUUAUCGCUGAAAGAUCGGCCCGCGUCUGAUUAGCUUGUUGGUGGGGGUAAUGGCCUACCAAGGCGACGAUCAGUAGCUGGUCUGAGAGGAUGAUCAGCCACACUGGGACUGAGACACGGCCCAGACUCCUACGGGAGGCAGCAGUGGGGAAUAUUGGACAAUGGGCGCAAGCCUGAUCCAGCCAUGCCGCGUGAGUGAUGACGGCCUUAGGGUUGUAAAGCUCUUUCGACGGGGACGAUAAUGACGGUACCCGUAGAAGAAGCCCCGGCUAACUUCGUGCCAGCAGCCGCCGUAA
rnacentral:rRNA from 1 species